AUUGAACGCUGGCGGCAGGCCUAACACAUGCAAGUCGAACGAGUGGCGGACGGGUGAGUAAUGUCUGAGAAACUGCCUGAUGGAGGGGGAUAACUACUGGAAACGGUAGCUAAUACCGCAUACCAUCCGUUGUGGCGAUGUGGGAUUAGCUUGUUGGUGGGGUAACGGCUCACCAAGGCGACGAUCCACAGCUGGUCUGAGAGGCGGACCGGCCACACUGGAACUGAGACACGGUCCAUACUCCUACGGGAGGCAGCAGUGGGGAAUAUUGGACAAUGGGCGAAAGCCUGACCCAGCCAUGCCGCGUGUAUGAAGAAGGCUUUCGGGUUGUAAAGUACUGUCGGCAGGGAGGCGUUAUCCACACAGGAAGCACCGGCUAACUCCGUGCCAGCAGCCGCGGUAAUAC
rnacentral:rRNA from 1 species